rnacentral:rRNA from 1 species
AUUGAACGCUGGCGGCAUGCCUUACACAUGCAAGUCGAACGGCAGCACGGGUGCUUGCACCUGGUGGCGAGUGGCGAACGGGUGAGUAAUACAUCGGAACGUACCUUAUCGUGGGGGAUAACGCAGCGAAAGCUGUGCUAAUACCGCAUACGCCCUGAGGGGGAAAGCGGGGGAUCGAAAGACCUCGCGCGAUUAGAGCGGCCGAUGCCUGAUUAGCUUGUUGGUGGGGUAAAAGCCCACCAAGGCGACGAUCAGUAGCUGGUCUGAGAGGAGGAUCAGACACAGUGGGACUGGGACACGGCCCGGGCUCCUGCGGGAGGCAGCAGUGGGGAAUUUUGGACAAUGGGGGGAACCCUGCUCCAGCAAUGCCGCGUGAGUGAAGAAGGCCUUCGGGUUGUAAAGCUCUUUUGUCAGGGAAGAAACACCGGCUCUAACACAGUCCGGGAAUGACGGUACCUGAAGAAUAAGCACCGGCUAACUACGUGCCAGCCGCCGCAGUAA